rnacentral:rRNA from 1 species
UACGAAGGGGGCUAGCGUUGCUCGGAUUGACUGGGCGUAAAGCGCGUGUAGGCGGCUGCGCAAGUCGGAUGUGAAAUCCCAUGGCUCAACCAUGGAAGUGCACCCGAAACUGCGUAGCUAGAGUCUCGGAGAGGAAGGCGGAAUGCUUGGUGUAGAGGUGAAAUUCGUAGAUAUCAAGCGGAACACCGGUGGCGAAGGCGGCCUUCUGGACGAUGACUGACGCUGAGACGCGAAAGCGUGGGGAGCAAACAGG